rnacentral:rRNA from 1 species
GACGAACGCUGGCGGCGUGCUUAACACAUGCAAGUCGAACGGAAAGGCCCUGCUUUUGUGGGGUGCUCGAGUGGCGAACGGGUGAGUAACACGUGAGUAACCUGCCCUUGACUUUGGGAUAACUUCAGGAAACUGGGGCUAAUACCGGAUAGGAGCUCCUGCUGCAUGGUGGGGGUUGGAAAGUUUCGGCGGUUGGGGAUGGACUCGCGGCUUAUCAGCUUGUUGGUGGGGUAGUGGCUUACCAAGGCUUUGACGGGUAGCCGGCCUGAGAGGGUGACCGGCCAAAUUGGGACUGAGAUACGGCCCAGACUCCUACGGGAGGCAGCAGUGGGGAAUAUUGCACAAUGGGCGGAAGCCUGAUGCAGCAACGCCGCGUGCGGGAUGACGGCCUUCGGGUUGUAAACCGCUUUCGCCUGUGACGAAGCGUGGGUGACGGUAAUGGGUAAAGAAGCACCGGCUAACUACGUG